UUAAAAUGAGAGUUUGAUCCUGGCUCAGGACGAACGCUGGCGGCGUGCCUAAUACAUGCAAGUCGAACGAAACUUUCUUACACCGAAUGCUUGCAUUCACCGUAAGAAGUUGAGUGGCGGACGGGUGAGUAACACGUGGGUAACCUGCCUAAAAGAAGGGGAUAACACUUGGAAACAGGUGCUAAUACCGUAUAUCUCUAAGGAUCGCAUGAUCCUUAGAUGAAAGAUGGUUCUGCUAUCGCUUUUAGAUGGACCCGCGGCGUAUUAACUAGUUGGUGGGGUAACGGCCUACCAAGGUGAUGAUACGUAGCCGAACUGAGAGGUUGAUCGGCCACAUUGGGACUGAGACACGGCCCAAACUCCUACGGGAGGCAGCAGUAGGGAAUCUUCCACAAUGGACGCAAGUCUGAUGGAGCAACGCCGCGUGAGUGAAGAAGGUCUUCGGAUCGUAAAACUCUGUUGUUAGAGAAGAACACGAGUGAGAGUAACUGUUCAUUCGAUGACGGUAUCUAACCAGCAAGUCACGGCUAACUACGUGCCAGCAGCCGCGGUAAUACGUAGGUGGCAAGCGUUGUCCGGAUUUAUUGGGCGUAAAGGGAACGCAGGCGGUCUUUUAAGUCUGAUGUGAAAGCCUUCGGCUUAACCGGAGUAGUGCAUUGGAAACUGGAAGACUUGAGUGCAGAAGAGGAGAGUGGAACUCCAUGUGUAGCGGUGAAAUGCGUAGAUAUAUGGAAGAACACCAGUGGCGAAAGCGGCUCUCUGGUCUGUAACUGACGCUGAGGUUCGAAAGCGUGGGUAGCAAACAGGAUUAGAUACCCUGGUAGUCCACGCCGUAAACGAUGAAUGCUAGGUGUUGGAGGGUUUCCGCCCUUCAGUGCCGCAGCUAACGCAAUAAGCAUUCCGCCUGGGGAGUACGACCGCAAGGUUGAAACUCAAAGGAAUUGACGGGGGCCCGCACAAGCGGUGGAGCAUGUGGUUUAAUUCGAAGCAACGCGAAGAACCUUACCAGGUCUUGACAUCCUUUGAC
rnacentral:rRNA from 1 species